ACGCUCGACACCUACGGGGGGCAGCAGUAGGGAAUCUUCCACAAUGGACGCAAGUCUGAUGGAGCAACGCCGCGUGAGUGAAGAAGGUCUUCGGAUCGUAAAACUCUGUUGUUAGAGAAGAACACGAGUGAGAGUAACUGUUCAUUCGAUGACGGUAUCUAACCAGCAAGUCACGGCUAACUACGUGCCUGCAGCCGCGGUAAUCUGAGCGGGCUGGCAAGGC
rnacentral:rRNA from 1 species